rnacentral:rRNA from 1 species
GAUGAACGCUGGCGGCGUGCCUAAUACAUGCAAGUCGAGCGAACAGACGAGGAGCUUGCUCCUCUGACGUUAGCGGCGGACGGGUGAGUAACACGUGGAUAACCUACCUAUAAGACUGGGAUAACUUCGGGAAACCGGAGCUAAUACCGGAUAAUAUAUUGAACCGCAUGGUUCAAUAGUGAAAGACGGUUUUGCUGUCACUUAUAGAUGGAUCCGCGCCGCAUUAGCUAGUUGGUAAGGUAACGGCUUACCAAGGCAACGAUGCGUAGCCGACCUGAGAGGGUGAUCGGCCACACUGGAACUGAGAAACGUUCCAGACUCCUACGGAAGGAAGCAGUAGGGAAUCUUCCGCAAUGGGCGAAAGCCUGACGGAGCAACGCGGGGUGGGUGAUGAAGGUCUUCGGAUCGUAAACCUCUGUUAUUGGGGAAGAACAAAUGUGUAAGUAACUAUGCACGUCUUGACGGUACCUAACCAGAAAGCCACGGCUACCUACGU